rnacentral:rRNA from 1 species
AGGACGAACGCUGGCGGCGUGCUUAACACAUGCAAGUCGAACGGUGAAGCCCUUCGGGGUGGAUCAGUGGCGAACGGGUGAGUAACACGUGAGCAAUCUGCCCUUGACUCUGGGAUAACUUCGGGAAACCGGAGCUAAUACCGGAUAUGACACAUGAUCGCAUGGUCUGUGUGUGGAAAGAUUUAUUGGUCAGGGAUGAGCUCGCGGCCUAUCAGCUUGUUGGUGGGGUAAUGGCCUACCAAGGCGACGACGGGUA